UUUCCGUAGGUGAACCUGCGGAAGGAUCAUUCACAAUAAGUGUUUUAUGGCGCUUUUUCAAUCCAUAUCCACCUUGUGUGCAAUGUUGUCUUGUAACGCGAAUGCUUGUCAUUUGCGCUACAGGAUGUAGACAUCAACUCUUAUUUUUAACAACUUUGUCUGAGAACCUGUAUGAAUACUUAAUUCAAAUACAACUUUCAACAACGGAUCUCUUGGCUCUC
rnacentral:misc_RNA from 1 species